rnacentral:pre_miRNA from 1 species
UGGGAGGUAGUUCGUUGUGUGGUUUGCUUGUCAAAAUGAUUAAAAGACCAUACAACCGACUGGCUUUCCCAUU